rnacentral:rRNA from 1 species
GACGAACGCUGGCGGCGUGCCUAAUACAUGCAAGUCGCACGCAGUGGGGAAGGGUGCGUAACACGUGGGUAACCUCCCAUCAGAGGGGAUAACACUUGGAAACAGGUGCUAAACCGAUACUGAUGGAUGGAACCGCGGUGCAUUAGCUAGUUGGUGCGGUAACGGCUCACCAAGGCAACGAUGCAGAGCCGACCGGCGAGGUUGGUCGGCCACACUGGGACGGAGACACUGCCCAGACGCCGACGUGAGGCAGCAGUAGGGAAUCUUCGGCAAUGGACGAAAGUCUGACCGAGCAACGCCGCGUGAGUGAAGAAGGUUUUCGGAUCGGAAAACUCUGUUGUUAGAGAAGCGGUAUCUAACCAGAAAGCCACGGCUAACUACGUGCCAGCAGCCGCGGUAAUAC